rnacentral:rRNA from 1 species
AGAGUUUGAUCCUGGCUCAGAUUGAACGCUGGCGGCAUGCUUUACACAUGCAAGUCGAGCGGCAGCGCGGGGGCAACCCUGGCGGCGAGCGGCGGACGGGUGAGUAAUGCAUCGGAACGUAUCCCGUAGUGGGGGACAACCCAGCGAAAGCUGGGCUAAUACCGCAUAUGCUCUACGGAGGAAAGUGGGGGACCCGCAAGGGCCUCACGCUAUGGGAGCGGCCGAUGUCCGAUUAGCUAGUUGGUGGGGUAAAGGCCUACCAAGGCGACGAUCGGUAGCCGGCCUGAGAGGGUGUCCGGCCACACUGGGACUGAGAUACGGCCCAGACUCCUACGGGAGGCAGCAGUGGGGAAUAUUGCACAAUGGGCGCAAGCCUGAUGCAGCGACGCCGCGUGAGGGAUGACGGCCUUCGGGUUGUAAACCUCUUUCAAUAGGGACGAAGCGCAAGUGACGGUACCUAUAGAAGAAGCACCGGCCAACUACGUG